GAGGCGAUGAAGGACGUAGCACGUUGCGAUAAGCCGUGGGGAGUUGCGAGCAAACUUUGAUCCGCGGAUUUCCGAAUGGGGAAACCCACCCCCUUGUGGGGUAUCAUGCACUGAAUACAUAGGUGUAUGAGGCAAACCCGGCGAACUGAAACAUCUAAGUAGCCGGAGGAAAAGAAAUCAACCGAGAUUCCGUAAGUAGUGGCGAGCGAACACGGAACAGCCUGUUAUUUUUAGCACAUGCGAUAGUAGAACGGAAUGGAAAGUCCGGCCAUAGAGGGUGAUAGCCCCUUAUACGAAAUCCCGUGUGUGGAACUAGGAUAACGACAAGUAGGGCGGGGCACGAGAAACCUUGUCUGAACAUGGGGGGACCAUCCUCCAAGCCUAAGUACUCCUACAUGACCGAUAGUGAACCAGUACCGUGAGGGAAAGGCGAAAAGAACCCCGGCGAGGGGAGUGAAAUAGAACCUGAA
rnacentral:rRNA from 11 species